GAUGAAGAACGUAGCGAAAUGCGAUACGUAAUGCGAAUUGCAGAAUUCAGUGAAUCAUCGAGUCUUUGAACGCACAUUGCGCCCCCUGGUAUUCCGGGGGCAUGCCUGUCCGAGCGUCAUUGCUGCCCUCAAGCACGGCUUGUGUGUUGGGCCUCCGUCCUCCUCCCGGGGGACGGGCCCGAAAGGCAGCGGCGGCACCGCGUCCGGUCCUCGAGCGUAUGGGGCUUCGUCACCCGCUCUUGUAGGCCCGGCCGGCGCUUGCCGACACAUCAAUCUUUUUUCCAGGUUGACCUCGGAUCAGGUAGGGAUACCCGCUGAACUUAAGCAUAUCAAUAAGCGGAGGA
rnacentral:misc_RNA from 1 species